rnacentral:rRNA from 1 species
AACGUAGGAGGCAAGCGUUAUCCGGAGUGACUGGGCGUAAAGCGCGCGCAGGCGGCGUGCUAAGUGGUGCCUGAAAGCUCCUGGCUCAACCGGGAGAGGCGGCAGCAGACUGGCGUGCUGGAGGGGUACAGAGGAGCGUGGAAUUCCAGGUGUAGCGGUGAAAUGUGCAGAGAUCCGGAGGAACACCAGCGGGGAAAGCGGCCCUCUGGGUACCUACUGACGCUGAGGCGCGAAAGCGUGGGGAGCGAACGGG